rnacentral:rRNA from 1 species
UUGAACGCUGGCGGAAUGCUUUACACAUGCAAGUCGAGCGGCAGCGCGGGGGCAACCCUGGCGGCGAGCGGCGAACGGGUGAGUAAUACAUCGGAACGUACCCAGUAGUGGGGGAUAACUAUCCGAAAGGAUAGCUAAUACCGCAUACGCCCUGAGGGGGAAAGUGGGGGAUCGCAAGACCUCACGUUAUUGGAGCGGCCGAUAUCGGAUUAGCUAGUUGGUGGGGUAAAGGCUCACCAAGGCGACGAUCCGUAGCGGGUCUGAGAGGACGGCCCGCCACACUGGAACUGAGACACGGUCCAGACUCCUACGGGAGGCAGCAGUGGGGAAUUUUGGACAAUGGGGGCAACCCUGAUCCAGCCAUUCCGCGUGAGUGAAGAAGGCCUUCGGGUUGUAAAGCUCUUUCGGCAGGAACGAAACGGUGAGCUCUAACAUAGCUUGCUAAUGACGGUACCUGAAGAAGAAGCACCGGCUAACUACGU